ACCGGAAGACAAGAACAAUGCU
rnacentral:snRNA from 1 species